rnacentral:rRNA from 1 species
GAUGAACGCUGGCGGCGUGCUUAAUACAUGCAAGUCGAACGGAAAGGCGAUGAUUUUGUGGGGUGGUCGUGUGGCGAACGGGGGUGUGAAACGUGAGUAUAAUCUACCUGUCUUUGGGGGAAAUUUUGGGAAAAGGGGAUCUAAUAGCAUAGAAGAUCUUGAUCCACGGUGGUGGACGGUAAGAUACGGUGGUGGGGGAUGGUAUAGAGGGAUCUGCGCCUGAUGAGCUAGUUGGUAAGGUAACGGCUUACCAAGGGUAGGAGGCGUAGCCGAGCUGAGAGGGUGAUCGGCCACACUGGAACUGAGCCACGGUCCAGACUCCUACGGGAGGAAGCAGUAGGGAAUCUUCCGCAAUGGGCGAAAGCCUGACGGAGCAACGCCGCGUGAGUGAAGAAGGUCUUCGGAUCGUAAAACUCUGUUAUUAGGGAAGAACAAAUGUGUAAGUAACUAUGCACGUCUUGACGGUACCUAAUCAGAAAGCAACGGCUAACUACGUG